rnacentral:rRNA from 1 species
GUCCACGCUGUAAACGAUGAAUACUAGGUAUUGAAGGAUUUGACCCCUACAGUGCCGUAGCUAACGCGUUAAGUAUUCCGCCUGGGAAGUACGGUCGCAAGACUAAAACUCAAAGGAAUUGACGGGGGCCCGCACAAGCGGUGGAUUAUGUGGUUUAAUUCGAAGCAACGCGCAAAACCUUACCAAGGCUUGAAAUCCCACGAACCUGCUUUAAAACGGCGGGGUGCUCUUCGGAGAAUGUGGUGACAGGCGCUGCAUGGCUGUCGU